GUACCUACGGGAGGCAGCAGUGAGGAAUAUUGGUCAAUGGGCGAGAGCCUGAACCAGCCAAGUCGCGUGAAGGAUGACGGCCCUACGGGUUGUAAACUUCUUUUGUCAGGGAGCAACGCCGGCUACGUGUAGCCGGACUGAGAGUACCUGAAGAAAAGGCAUCGGCUAACUCCGUGCCAGCAGCCGCGGUAAUACGGAGGAUGCGAGCGUUAUCCGGAUUUAUUGGGUUUAAAGGGUGCGUAGGCGGAAUGCCAAGUCAGCGGUAAAAUCGCGGGGCUCAACCUCGCUCCGCCGUUGAAACUGGG
rnacentral:rRNA from 1 species